CCGAAAGUAGAAAUUAAUCUCAAACUCGCAUCCAUCCUCUGUGAAUCUCCCAAACUGUGUGACUUAAGGACCAAUUUAAGCUCCCUGCUCCGAUCCGCAACAUACCAUGAUGAAGUAAUGUGUCAUGAACUUGGACACCAUGCUAUAUAGAAGAAGUGACAGGAGGAAAACGCCUUUGUCCCUGACUGCCAUAUUUCUCCUCAUGCCAAGAGAUCUCCAGUGCCAUCUGGGGGAUAUGGGGCACCGUGCCCAUGCCACCGGCGAUGAAACCCCUUCAUCUCCCUGGAGCUUUGGCACGAUGAAUGAGGAAGGCAGGGAGGCCAUCUUGAGGGAGAUCUCAUUGAAACAGCUAAGAUGGCUGGACUGGCACACGAGAAUUGGAUGGGUAUUAAACUGCGCAUUCUUGGCUUGAUAACGGCAGCAGAGGACAAUGGAAAAUACGAUGCAUCUCUUUGAAUUGUUUUUUUCUGAAAAAAACAACAACCAUAUUUGUAUUGAGAAAAUGUCCUAAUAUUGACAAUCAAAUGUAUACAUCAGUGCAUGCUGUGCGUUAGUAGGAACUAUUGACCUACAGUAGGGUUUUAAUUUAAUUUAAUGUUUGUAUUCUGUGUAUUAGACUGUAAUUUGUUUGCUCUGGAAAACAAAAGCAUUUUACAUAAUUUGUAUGUUGUUCACUCUGUUUAAUGUAUUAAAAGCUAUUUCAGAAA